UGGUGGAGUGAUUUGUCUGGUUAAUUCCGAUAACGAACGAGACUUUGUCCUGCUAAAUAGUUGUCGUGUCCUUUGUUGCGCGACAAUUUCUUCUUAGAGGGACUGGCGGCGUCUAGCCGCACGAGAUUGAGCAAUAACA
rnacentral:rRNA from 1 species